rnacentral:rRNA from 1 species
UACGUAGGAGGCGAGCGUUGUCCGGAAUCAUUGGGCGUAAAGAGCGCGCAGGCGGCUUGGCAAGUCGGGUGUGAAAUCCCGGGGCUCAACCCCGGGACUGCAUUCGAUACUGUCAGGCUAGAGGUAGGUAGGGGAGAUCGGAAUUCCUGGUGUAGCGGUGAAAUGCGCAGAUAUCAGGAGGAACACCGGUGGCGAAGGCGGAUCUCUGGGCCGUAACUGACGCUGAGGAGCGAAAGCAUGGGGAGCGACAGG